GUGGGGAAUAUUGGGCAAUGGGCGAAAGCCUGACCCAGCAACGCCGCGUGAAGGAAGAAGGUCUUCGGAUCGUAAACUUCUAUCCUUGGUGAAGAUAAUGACGGUAGCCGAGAAGGAAGCCCCGGCUAACUACGUGCCAGCAGCCGCGGUAAUACGUAGGGGGCAAGCGUUGUCCGGAAUGAUUGGGCGUAAAGGGCGCGUAGGCGGCCUGGUAAGUCUGGAGUGAGAGUCCUGCUUUUAAGGUGGGAAUUGCUUUGGAUACUGUCGGGCUUGAGUGUAAGAGAGGUAAGUGGAAUUCCCGGUGUAGCGGUGAAAUGCGUAGAGAUCGGGAGGAACACCAGUGGCGAGGGCGACUUACUGGACUGUAACUGACGCUGAGGCGCGAAAGUGUGGGGAGCAAACAGGAUUAGAUACCCCGGUAGUCC
rnacentral:rRNA from 1 species